CCUACGGGUGGCAGCAGUGAGGAAUAUUGGUCAAUGGGCGCGAGCCUGAACCAGCCAAGUCGCGUGAGGGAGGACGGCCCUACGGGUUGUAAACCUCUUUUGCCGGGGAGCAACGGGCGUCACGUGUGGCGCCACUGAGAGUACCCGGAGAAAAAGCAUCGGCUAACUCCGUGCCAGCAGCCGCGGCAAUACGGGGGUUGCGAGCGUUUACCGGAUUUAUUGGGUUUAAAGGGUGCGCAGGCGGAUCGUGAAGUCAGUGGUAAAAUUGAGGGGCUCAACCCCUUCCCGCCAUUGAAACUGGCGCUCUUGAGUGGAAGAGAAGUAUGCGGAAUGCGUGGUGUAGCGGUGAAAUGCAUAGAUAUCACGCAGAACCCCGAUUGCGAAGGCAGCAUGCCGGCUUCCGACUGACGCUGAAGCACGAAAGCGUGGGGAUCGAACAGGAUUAGAUACCCGAGUAGUC
rnacentral:rRNA from 1 species